rnacentral:rRNA from 1 species
UGGUGGAGUGAUUUGUCUGGUUAAUUCCGAUAACGAACGAGACCUUAUCCUGCUAAUUAGGUGUUCCAGAUCGUUCUGGUCAUCCUUCUUAGAGGGACUGUUGUACGCCUAGUCAACGGAAGUUUGAGGCAAUAACA